AGUAGCACUUGAGCUACAUGAAAUGCCAGCAGUUCAGGUGCAAUCUCAGGCCAUGACCAUGGCAUGGUUACAGCAGAAGUGUUCCACCUGCAGCUUCUGACUCCACAGGCUACCACAGCAUUUCCACUGAAUUUCAGAGCUUUGGUGCCAAGCGCCAGUAAGUUGUGCCUAAGCUUUCAUUCAAAGAUUAUUUUUUAUGGUAUUACAAGUAACAGUUAUAUUUGGAAAUAAUACACUUGCUUUUCAACAGUACCUAGAGAGGUAAUAUCUGUACCAAAAAAUCUGUGCUGAUUUUUCCUAAAGAAUUUGGAAACAAAACAGUGUAGCCAUUGUAUUUCAAACAUUACAGCAAUUGUUCAGUACAUGUGGUGCAACCCUACAUUUCUAUGUCAGAACACAGUGCCAACUCUGAGUCUCUGUAAAUUAUGGUACUAUGGGCAUGUGCAUGUUUAAACAAGUGCUUUCCUAUCUCCAGGUUAAAUAGUUGUGUUUAUGUAUAUGGUUUGGAAAAGCCAGACAAUACUCUAAUGCGAUAAAUGGGACCAUAAAACACGUGCUUAUUUUUCACACCAUUGUAUUUUUAAAACAAAGCAAAACCUGUUAUGUGGCUUGGAUUUUUCCUCUAAGUACAUUGGGAUUUGUUAUAUAUAAAUCCUAAUGAUGUUUAUUCUUGUAUACCAUAAAACAUGUGGAAAAAAGAGACCUAUUAAAACAAACACAGAUAAACAAAGAGUAAUUCAUUGCCUGCAGUUGAAAGUGCUUUGUGCUAUAGUUCUCCAGUAUACUCAUAAACCUGUGACUCUAAACAUCUUUAAAUUAUAGGUUUAGGCAGCCAAAAUAUAAGUGUAACUCCUUUUGGAUUCAACAGGCUCUACCUAGUGGCUUAACCUACUACUGAAGGUCAGGAGAAUAUAAUUCGUCUUCCACAAUGCCUAGACAUCACCAGCUACACUUCUGGAGGUAUCCUGGAAAAUGAAACUGUUAAAACAUUCCAAGCGCUUCGGGGGGAUUAUUGUCUAUGACAAGAUCCUCUUGGACAAUACACAGACCUUUGUGCAUGUACCACCAUCAUACCCACUAAAAAUCAAAGCUCCCCUUUGGGACCGCUCUGCUUGAUGCGCACAGGAUUUCAGAUGGGCUGGUAAUAUAUGGAAUCAGCACUGUCAAUGACAAAAAACCCUCAUGGCUUCUCACCCCCAUUCUCAGUUUAAGCAUUCAUUGUUCUUUUAAAUGUGUUAUUUUCUUACUUUUCAAGAAAGGCUGCCCAUGUACCAUACAUACCACCUAGCCCUAGAAGAUGCUAAUCACUGUGCUCUAUUUCCCUGUUUGGACAAAACAGGUUGUCUUCUGAGACACUAUUUCUGGAGGUUCUGAAGUCACAAAAGUAGAAAUAUGUUUUUAUGUAUUGUUCUUACUGGAAUUACCUGUGGAAACAGUGGUUGUAUAGAAUAGUCAAGAUACUGUGCAAGAUUAAUUGACUACAGGAUCAGCCAGUAUGCUCAAAGAGCAUUAGCUUUUCCCAAGAUAAAAAUCUUAUUACAAAUUAGAAACGGACUGUAACAGGCAGUGUUAACUCUUGAACCCAGUGGCCACUGCCACUCUGUUACUGAUUUGAACCUAACCUUUAAGCACUGGAGUGCUGCAAGGAAUGACCACAUGUGAACAACAUUAUUUCUUAAUGCAAAGGCACAUAGUGUAAGAAAAGAAGAGCAUCUCCAUGACUGACAAAUGUUUAGGAAGACUGGUGGCUGCUCUAGAAAUAAAAAGUAUGAAAAACCUUAAAGGUAAGCAUGUUGUUUUGACCCCAGAGUCAGAGCUAGAAAAACAGCAGGAGGAAAGGGAAAGUGAAGAAAAGUGACAGGAAAGGAGGAAGAAAGUUUGGUUUGCAACUGCAGGGGGCUUUCAGUCUUGUUAGUAUUAGAGGUUAGUAUUCUUUCUGGCUAUAAAGGAUAAUUUGGGUUAUGCUGAUCUUGUAUAUCUGAGACAAGGAACUGGACAAAUUCUGCAAAAGAGAUGCAUGUGACUCAUGGAAAGAAUAACUAGUGAAGAACUUGCUCGACUUGAACUCUUGCUUGUAGGGAUUUUAUUUACCCCUGGGGAAGGGUGAAAUUUUCCAGUUUGGCAUAGAGCUAAACUACUUUACCAGUAGUGACAGAGAUCUUGAAGCCUCCUUUGCUGAGAAGAUAAGCUUUCAUGGUACAGGAUAAAGGCUAACCUGUACUGAAGAUUAUUGCACAACAAGCAAGGGAAGAGAUGCUUUAAAGCAUGAUUCUUUUUACUGUGAAAACUAGCUAAUGGGGUAUUCAACACACAUGUAUUUAACUAGAUGCUCGCAUUAACUCAUUUUCAAUACAAUGCACAAACCAUCAUACAUUCCUUUAUUGUAGACACAAAAAAAUAAAGAAAAAUGCUCCCUGCUUUGAGAACUGAGAGUCCUUAGUAGCUCAUUCAACAAUAUGAUACUCAUAUUCUCAUUCACAAAGCUCCAUUAGAGAAUUCAGUCAAAACUCUUUUGAUUUUUAUUCCAAGUGUGAAUAAUAGGCCAGCUGCAUGGUGACAACAUUAUGGGCAGUUAAAAAAAUUUGUUGUGGAAACACUUAGAAGGAGUUACAUUCAAGAAAAUUACUUGCUAAAGAGGAGCAGUUUAAAUGCAAAUUCAGCCUCAGCUCAUGUGUGCAAACGUGUUUUAAAAGAAAGGGGGGAAAACCCACUUCCCUAAUGUGCUGAUUAGUGUUCUUAAUAGCAGUCUAAAACAUGCCUAGGUUAGGCAAAACUCACCAGUUUCUCCACAACAGGGCAGAACUUAAUCCUCAGGUGCUGCCUGCCUGAAAACUUGAAGAUCACAGAGAGGUAGAGAGAUGAGGUUUGGAUGCAAAUUCCAAACACUCUUAAUACAUAAGGUCUGAAUAUGGAGUUAUUUUUUUUUACAAACCCUACUUCAUAUUAUGAGGAAAUACUUCAGCUGCUGUUGCGAAUCUUCUGUUCAGAGUAACUAUCUGUAUAGUUACUCUGACUUUGUUCCACCUAAUUGUUUUGUCAAAUCACCUUGACCCUCUGCAAUAAAAACAAAUCCUAAGUUCUUUCAGAGGGAAAAUAACCCACCUCAUUUUAAAAUUAAUAAAACAUAAUAAGUGAAAGUUGUAAGUAGGAGUGAAAGUUCAAUUUAUGAGCUCUAUCUUUGAGCAGAGCUAAAUAAUUUAGUAGAAAUAUAUUCUGGUUUUCAAAAGAUACGUGGUAAUGUAGAUGACAAGAUUAGAAAACUAAAUGAUUGUGGCUUGCAAAAGCCUAAUGAAACACUGGAGCUGAAAAUGUCAGUAUUUAGUGAACUUAACUGUAGAGAAUCACAGGAGAUUCCUGCAGAUCCUGAGAACAUUAUGUUGUGUAUCUUGAGCAAAACUGGCAAACACUCAAAAAACCCACUGGUGUUUUUGCCAGUCAAUGCUAAGUACUUACACGUGGUCUUUAUUCAGGUUCUUUCAACUGAUGAGCGUUUCUCUCAAUUUAAAUAGUUGGCAGUCAUAAUUUCUAAUUUUCAUAAUUGCAGUUGCCUUUAAAUCAGCUCUGCCUAAAAAACUCCUGCAAGGGACCUUGCUGGAAAUCAUCAAACUUAAUGUACUGGAGAAGAAUCCUAAUCCUUGUCAGCCAGGGCUACAGUUCCACAGAAAAGGAGGGCUAACAGUGAUGAAUUGAGCUUAGAAGGAGUAUAGGAAUUAUUUGAUCUUAGAUCAGAGAUGGCCAUCAGUGUGCUCUGAAUAGGAAUAGGUAAGAAGCUUCUCUACAGAGACAGAUCAUUCUUCUUGUUUUCAGAUUACACCUUUUCAGUUCAGGAUUGCGCAUACUCCGAUAGGUCAAAACAGUGAUCCUUGAAAAGAACGUGCUUGUUUUGAAAGAAAAGGAUGGAAAUCUGCAUCUCCUUUUUUUUUUUUUCUGAAAAUUUAAACUUUAAUAUGAACAAAGCCAGCAAAUUCAUCUACGUGUGGCUCCUGAAUCUAAACAAUUUUCUGGAUUUUCUGAGUGCUGCUGGCUAAAAGUCAACACCCCCACUACAUGUGAUCCAAACAAGAAUGUAACUCACAGCCUAUUUAGCACUAAGGCACAUCUUCAGGUUACUUCCCGACAGCGAUACAGAUGUGUGUAGCUAACAGACUGUGCAUACUGUUCCUAUCUGCUGCAUGUGAUAUUAUAUUGCCCUGCAAAUCUGUGUGUUUUAAUAAAUCAGUCUGCAGAUGAGUGGCAGGAGCGCCUGCUUUUGUGUGCGGAAAGAUUCUGAAGAGACCAUCAGCAUGCCUCUGCCGGAGACUAGAGCCCCACUGGGAGAAGUGAGUGAGUGCCUGAAGGAAGGAAGGAAUGAAAGGCUGCCUCUCAGGCUCAGUGUCCUGAGUCUAACAGGCGAACACUGCAAAACUAACCAACAGGAGUGGAGAAAGGUGAUGUGACAGACUGAGGUAGGUUGAAGCCAUUGCACAAAAUACCAUCCACACAUGGGCUUCAGUCCAGAGACCAGAAAAAUCAGUAGGAAGUCUUUCCAUUGAUUGUAGCUCACAGAGAUUGAAGCCUUUUGAGAAAAGCAGUGUAUCUGCUUGUUUAUGCCCCUAUUCCACCCUUCGUGGAGUGUGGUUGUCCAUUUCACACAAUUUAAGACCACAGACCUUCUUGCUGGGAACUGCUAGGCAGGUCCUUCCCACAUUCUCUUGCGUCCCAGGAAGACCACUCUGGGACACGGCUUCUCACUGCUGUCCAUUUGCUCAGGACUACAGCACUAGUCCUACUGCUGGGCGUACUUACCCUGCCUCAGAAAAGAAGCCCUUAACUAAGAAUCAGAUGUGAGGCUGGUGGGAUAAGGACAAAUUUAAGACACUGGCUUCCUCUGAUCUCCACGUGCUUGUUUCGCUCAGGAUCUCAUAAGCUACUUGGGACAGCUACAGUACUUUGGAAGUAGUCACUCACAUAAUUUUCAUUUGACUAGUUAUAAACCAUGUGUUAAUUAUCU